rnacentral:rRNA from 1 species
ACGGGUGAGUAACGCGUAAGAAUCUGCCCUACAGUGAAGAAUACCUUCGAGAAAUCGAAGUUAAUACUGCAUACGUUCCGAAAGGAAGAAAGAUGGCCUCUUUGCUGUCGCUGAAGGAUGAGCUUGCGUACUAUUAGCUAGUUGGUAGGGUAAAGGCCUACCAAGGCAAAGAUGGUUAGCCGGCCUGAGAGGGUGUACGGCCACAUUGGAACUGAGACACGGUCCAGACUCCUACGGGAGGCAGCAGUGAGGAAUAUUGCGCAAUGGGCGAAAGCCUGACGCAGCGACGCCGCGUGGAGGAUGAAGGUCUUAGGAUUGUAAACUUCUGUUAAACGGGAAGAAAUGCACGAUUCUAAUACAAUCGUGAGAUGACGGUACCGUUAGAGAAAGCACUGGCUAAUCUCGUGCCAGCAGCCGCGGUAAUACGAGAGGUGCGAGCGUUAUUCGGAAUUAUUGGGCGUAAAGGGUGCGCAGACGGUUUGUUAAGUCAAUUGUUUAAUUCCUCGGCCUAACUGAGGAUCAGCAGUAGAAACUGAUAGACUAGAGUAUGAAAGAGGGAAGUGGAAUUCUCGGA